ACUUGAUCUUUCCAUUUCAGAUAAAUCGUCUACUCUUGGAAGAUGACACUGCUUUGGAUAACCAUAGUUCAAAGUACCGAUCAAUAAUAAAAGAGUUUUGUGCUUUUCUAUGUGAAUGCAAGGAUAUGUUGGAUGAGGCAACUAAAAUGAAACUUUUAGAGAGGUAACUAUCUACAGGAUCCUAUUUAUGGCCGGGUUGAAGAGUUGGUGUUUUUUGCCAGUUUAAAGGAGUAGUAUGAAAUCUUAAUUCAUCAUUUCAUACAGGAGAAAAGGACUACUAUGAAAGACAACUUUUAACUCUGAAAUCUUUUGAGGAAGUUGACUCUAUAGUGCAAUCAGAAGGCAUUGAUGAAGAUGAUCUUUAUGAACAAGCUCAACAUGAAAGAGCCAUGAAGAUCUCUAAUUAUUCAAACAUAAUUCUCUUGGGA